AAAACAAACGUCGUCUGUCUCUCCCUCCAAGCCAGUCCGUCUGUCUGCAGCACAGAUAAUGUCCCUGGACAGGGUGCUGAUAAGAGAGCUGUCCACCCUUACAAAGCAGACCGGGACCCACCAGCAGGGAGAGGUGCAAUCUGAAGAUGGGAAAAGGC